rnacentral:rRNA from 1 species
CCCUGCCUUUUGUACACACCGCCCGUCGCUCCUACCGAUUGAGCAAUCCGGUGAAUAUUUCGGACCGAAUCCUGGCGGGGCAACUCGUUCAGGAAUUGGAAAGUCAAGUUAACCUUAUUGCUUAGAGG